rnacentral:lncRNA from 1 species
UAGAACUCUGGAAUUGAGGCCUAUGUGGUGGGAAUGGAUCACAUGGGGUAUGUGCCUUAAGAAGUACAUCUUGCCCUUUUCUUCUUCCUGAUUUAUUCCUGUUUCCUGGCUUCCAGAGCCAGCUCCCCACUGACCAGCAUUUGAUGUGUCCCACGUCUCAGUGAUGCCCUCUCCACUUCUGGCAGAAAUGCGAAUCACCUUUGACCUCUAGACUUCCAAGCGCCUACAGAGCAACUUGAGUGCGCUCACAUACUCUGCUUGGAUCCUGCGGGCUGGCACAACCAAGUCUCCAUCAAAUUUAAUUAUAACAACCAAAUCUGCCAUUUCAAUUAUACCCCUUUUGAUACCCUGCAGUUCAUCCCCUCCUGCUGGCGGCAGCAAUAAAAGAAACAUAUCGACCAUGUCAGCCACAGCAAACUCCGACUGCCCAAACACCGACGGUUUCAAUAAGA